AGCCUUGGAUUUCUCCAGCUCAUCCGCAGCUUCAGCUUAUAGAUGUGUCUAGCCUAGGAAGUCUCUUGUUUUUGUGCCCCCAGUUCAUCUCUGGCUCAUUACAACUGUAGGGGAGCUGUCAGGUCGCGGCUCAAACUGGUGGUUGAGCACCUGGCCCAGGGAGCGCAGGCAAAAUGUUCGCACCCAGAAGGGUGGAGCCAUCCUGGGCUCAUGUAAGGGGCACCUGCUGAACAGAGGCUAUCUCUUGGACUUGGGCUGCUUGCUGCAAAGGAGAGCUCUAUAGCCAGAGCUCCUUUGUCAUUUGCAUUACGACUUAGACUUUAGACAAGGCUGUAAAUCAAUCACUGUUAUAAUCUGAAUGUUAAUCCAGAAUGUCUUAGUUGCGUACUGCAUAGAUACUGACUAGUUUAAUUUGUAUCUGCAGACUAACUGCUUUGUCCGUCUCCAGCUCGCUGUCUGGCUCACAGGCAGCUCCAGCUUGUGGACAUGCCCUGGAAGUCUCCUGGACUUCUCCAACUUCAUUGUGGCUCCAGCACGAAAUGCUUGCCCUACCUCCAUGACCAGUUGGUGAGCGCGGGAGACCAGUGUAAGACCAUUGGCAUGAUUAAAUGUCUCAGAAAUGUCUUGCCCAAACGUGUAGCCGGCACCACGUGGAGAUAUGCCCCAGCCACCACGAUCAUCUGGAUCCGACCACAACAGAUCACACAUUGGACCCUUGAAAGAAAGUGAGUAUUCUUCAUUAGCUUUCAUUGUGCUUGCAAAGUAGUUAUGAAAAUAUAUCUUUACAAGUUUACAGUAAAAAGCCUGCAUUUUCUUUUCUGCAUAAGCCACAUAUGUUUAUCUAACAACAGUUAGUUACUCCAUGCAUCAGUCGACAUCCUUUCACAAGAAACGAAUCCGCAUACAGCUGAGGAGUCCCUGCAACCAGAGAACUCUGGCCACCUCCAUCACACACUGCUUGCCAUCCCACCUCACCUAACCAGAGCUGCAAAGACAUGCACAGCAGAUCCACGUUCUUCCUGACUCUCACAGCAGAAUAAAGACCACAUGGGAAAGUAUGUAUGCAAGUCCGAGGAUACACAAAGGGAUCAUUAGUGCCAACCAACUUGUAAUAAAUUAAUGCAAGGGAAAUUAUCCACCUGAAGUGACCUAAGUGAACUAAUCAAAAGAUUGAUUGUUAAUCUUCAGCGGUUCUUCUGGCAGGGUAUUAAGCAUGUAGUUUCCUCUCCUGAAUUGUUGUUCAUUGGAUUUUACAUAUUCAGAAAUACCCUGGUACAUGUCUUUUAACAUUCACCAGCAGCUUUUCUCACUGAGCUAUUAAGAAACUAAAGGGCACUACGAACUGUCUGGUACUUGUCAAAGCCUUCUGCUGUCUCCCAUCCACUGAUCCAAACUACGUGGUAGGGAUCAUACACAGAGGUCCUCAGGAAAUUUAGAUCUCAGCAAACAUAUGCAGCAUAAGACUGUGAAAACCCCAGAGCAACAAAAAAAUUAAUACCAUCUAUCUACAAUCAGAACCCCACCAAGCAGCCUCCCUCCUAAUGCUGGGGGCAAUUCAAACAGCUUGUUUCAGAAAUCUCAGGCAGACCUUGUCACUCUGUUCUUGCUCCUGUACCCCAUACGUUUCAGGACAAGAAGUUUGUUUUCACUGAGGGAUAAUCAAGACCAUCUGUAAGCCCCAACAACUCCAGCAGAGCAGAGCUAUUUGUUAGCCUGGGAGCUCAAAAGGUGGUUUCUUCACUCCGACUGGCACUCCCCAGCUGCUCCUUGUGGGACUCCUGCACAUCGGCAUCUCCUAUGGGCACCUUCUAAUUUUGUCAGGUCACCCAGAAGAGGGUAGCAGUGAACAUGGUGAAAACACAAAAAGUACUGGCUGGGGUGGAGGGAUAGUGACGCAACAGCUCUGUGUGCUGGUGGUUGGUUCACAAGGAAGUCUGCAGUGAGGCACUUUCCCUUGCCAAUAUGACUGAGUCAGCAUGACGGUCAAGAAAAUCUGUUUCUGUGAAUAACAGCUGUGAAAACCCCACAGCUCUCCUUUUGCAGAUUGCUGUAAUUGAAGCAUAUUGACUUGGGUGUGUUUUAAUCAAAUGAGUUUUCAUUUGCUGUAGCUCUUAACUGAGGCAAUAAUCUUCUGCGUAACAGUAUGUCUCACAGUGCAAAUGCAUUUCUGCAUGACUGUGCAUUUACAUUUUCAACAAGCAUAUCUGAAUUGUAGUGCACCUAGUUUCCUGUUACCUCAUGUGGAACUUCCUGGAGGCGGUCCAGAGCCCUGAUAUGAUCCAGUGUAUCUAUGGAUGGAGAGAGGCCACCGUGGAGACAGAAUAUCUGUUGCAGAAAGAAGAGUGAUCCAUUGAAUACAUUUUUGCUACGGGAAGACUCAUCUCAGAAAUAGCUGUUUCUGCAUUAUUUUGCAAUUACAGUGGUCUACACUCACAGGGGAGAAACAAAUUUUAACUGUCUCAGAUGGAAAUGAAACUGGAAGGCUGCACAUUACACACUAAUACUGAAGCAACAAACAUGCUGUGCCUUCAGUAUCACAGCGAUAUGUCAACUUACAUGUGAAGUAUCACAAGGGGAUUCUCACCUGCUGAAGAGCCCUUUAAAAUGACCAAUACCCUGUUAUUCCUUAGGCAGCAAAUGCAGAGGCCUUGCUGCACCAUCAACCUGUAUUGAUACUUCACCAAGUUCUUCCCAAAACCCACAGUAAACACAAAAAGCUUGUUUGAGACUGUUCAUGUGUGGGUCAGGCGGCACAGACUGCAUUAUGUUACAAAACAAAGAGUUUUCUUUAUUCAAGGCAGGAAAGCUUACCUGGCCAUCUACUAGAGCUGUAAGUGGAAGAUAAUCAAACAGAUCUGUGAAAUACUUCCAGACGUUGGCGUUGCCGUAUUUCCGCAGGCAUUCAUCAUAAAAGCCAUACACUUGUGUAAUUUGUCUGCUUUCAUGAUUUCCUCUCAGUAUAGUAAUGCGUUCUGGGUACCGUACCUUUAGCGCUACUAGUAGAGUCACCGUUUCCACCGAGUAGUAGCCUCUGUCCACGUAGUCUCCCAUGAACAGGUAAUUUGUGUCUGGAGACUUCCCACCGAUUCUGAAGAGUUCCAUAAGGUCGUGGAAUUGGCCAUGGACAUCCCCACAGACGGUGACAGGGCAACGUACCUCCUGCACAUUUGACUCUUUUGUAAGAAUUUCCUUAGCCUAGCAAGAGAAAAAAACAGAACAAAGAUGCAGGACGCUCCUCCACUGGCAGGAGCAGAAGUUACUCCACUGCGUCUGCACUUGAAAUUCAGUUUCCCUCUAAGACAGAAGGAUGACCACUAGAAAAAGAGCUUGUUGAAUAAGCAAAGGCAAAGUGCAUUGUACAGACAGUCGUGCAGUAAGACAAGUUUGGUACUGCAAAGCCUGGACGCACAGAUUUUAUUGUACCAUGUAUGACAAGAAACAACUUCAAAGAAGUAAAUGGACAAGUGAAUUCUUAACCUCUCCUGAAAUUAAGGAGUGUGAAUGUCAAGACUUGCUGUUGCAUACGACUUCCAUCCCUGAUGGGGUUCAUCCAUGAAGCCUCUGCUUUUUCCAGUCAUUUCUGAAGUGCAUACAGUGACUGCAAGUGCUGUUCCAGUGUUUCAUUAGCAUCACAUGCAGAUCUCAUCUCCUUAAGCACAACUGACUUGUUUGUGUGAAGCAUACUGGUCCAUUCAAUUGAUAGAUUUCUUGGUUCGGAAGAGCUCAGGCUGAUUCAUCUGACCUAUGUAACUACAACAGCACUGGGGUUCCAGUCUGACUGCCAAAGCCAAGAGCCACUCAGCUCCAUGGUACCUGGCAGCUUUGCCUCAAGAACCACAACUGUAUCGCUGGCCAUCUCACAUCCUGUCAGCACCAUUUCUGUGGGAGGCGUGCAAGAACAGGGUUUGGCAGCCUGUGGUCAGGGCAGCAACACCUGAAGAGACCACGCACAAUGUCCAGGCAACUACUAUGGUUUUUGAAGAACUUGGUUUGCCAGAGCAAGGGUAAAGCCAUGAGGAUCCACAUGCCUUGCCUCCACUGGCAACAUGGCAGCAGGGUCAAAUCUCUCUCCUGCCGGCCCUGGCAGCUAAUGUUCACCGUCUUCAUCCUUUGGCAUCCCUCGUGCUUCCUCUCCCCAUCGCUGCACACCCAGGAACCACGCGUGCUAUCCUAAAACCAGGAUUUGACAGGAACAGAUUUGUGCCAUGGAAACAGCACUGCAAGCAGCGCAUUUGCUCUGUAUCUACAAAGCCACCUCAUCGUCUGAGCAGAGCCGGUGCUAAGCAAGGCUGGUCGUGACGAAGCAACUCGCCUGGCAGAACAGCCGGGCACUGCUGUGGCACAAGAUGAGCAGAGCCGCACUGCUCUGCCAAAUGGCAAUGAGCACAAGUGGCAGAGCAUUGGGCAGCUGGGGCAGCUCUGAAGGCACUGUGCCCUCAGAUCGCAUUGUGGUAAGAGACAGCUGUCAGGAACAGGAAUCUCUCAGCUAUUCCCAGGACAUAUGGGAACUAUCAAAUCCAUCUCCUUUGCAGAGCGGAGGGUUUCUUCUUGCUGAAGUCACGAGGGAAAAAAACACUUGUAAACCUUACCUGUAGUAACCUGGCACAAACCUCCAUACAUGCGCAAGAGGCACUUUUCUAGCCCGGGGCACCUGCUUCCUGCCAAAUCUCCAGUUCCCUUCCAAGUUUAAUUUAAAUUCUUCUGCAGCCAUUAUCAACUUCCUGGCCAUAACUGACUGGCAACAACACAACUCCAGAUGGAAGGAAGGCAUUCCUGAAUGUACUCAUCUCUUUCUCUGCACCCAGCAGUUCCUAUGCCAAUUACAGCCACGUAAUGUAGUAAUGUAGCCUAUCCGCAUUACUUAUUAUGGCUGUCAAAUAUUAUGGUUGUUUUUGCUGCCUCCAGUUCAUCAGCUGAUAUAGACCAGAGCUGCUGGCACAUCUGAUGCACAGGGAGAAACCACCGGCAGGCUCAGCCAGAUUUGGACAGAAAGGACAAGGAUCACCUGUGCAGAACAGUCUCUGGCAGGUGGUGAUUUGGUUGCUCACCAAGUCCCUUUGCUUAGGGUGAAUUAGGUCCCACCUACCACAUGGUAAGAAGCUACUUAGUGAGGACACCCUCAGCAGGCUCUGCUGAGUGCAUCUGUCCUCACAUCUGAGUGUUCAGACACUUUGCUUCUCACACACUAGGAAAAAAAUCCUACAGCCCAUUGGCUUGGCCAGUGCCCAGCGUGCCACCUACAUGGUGUGUAACCUGAGGGAUGUGACCCCGAUUCUCAGAGACAUCCUAAACAUCGACUAAGUGACAUGGAGUCCGCUUUGCAGUCCCAAAUGGACUAUAAACUGCUAAACACAUGGCAUCUGAGUGCAAUGGCCCUGAGUUCUUCCUGCCUUUAAAAGCACCUACAGGACCCGUCAAGAGCUUCAGCCCUCAGAGGGUGAUAGAAAAUUCAGUCACAAAACACCUGCUCUGUGUGUUCUGACAUAUGUUGCACAAAACAAGAGACUGGGCUUCACUGUGAACUGGAGUUAACUGAACCACCAAAGGUGCUGGGUACUUUCUGCCUUACUGUAUUAUGCAUUCUGCUCCUUUCUCAGCUGCAUAAAAAGACAGGGACUUGGUGCUUCUGGGAGAAAGAUGCAGGGCAUGAUACGGGUAUUGUGCAUACCCACCAGCAUCCCAGUUCCAUGCAGGCAUCUUGGGAACACAUACAGGUAAAGAAGCGUUCAAGAAACAGAGGACAGCUCCUUUUGUGCAGUAACACCUUAAAUGCUCAUGUCAAAUGCAUCCUAGGAAGGUGGGCCAGCAAGACACUUGAAACAUUGGUACUAGAAGAAUCUAGAAGUUCCCCAUCAGGAGAGGGGACCUGACAGCUGGAGAGCAGCGGCUUCUUAAACUGCCUACCAGCUGUUAUUGUUUAGCCUACUUUAGCUUUGUAGACAUACAUGAAAAGUAAGAUUUGUUGUGUUAACAUUGCUCGGGAACUGAGCUGACCACAGAAAUUUUGCCCUCAAAUGAUCUUCUAAGGCCAAAAAAGGUCUUUAAAAAUCUUAAACAUCAUAAAAAACUUCUCAGAAAAGCUGCAAUUAAUCAGUUAACUCUGGUUGUUUGUUUCACUGUGCACAGGUAACACUACAACAAAAAGGCUGAAAUAAUCAAAGCAUCAUUGCAAAGGAAAAAAUUCUGAUAUGAGUAAGCUGCCCUACAUUACUGUCAUUUACUUAUGAAGACUGUUAAAUAACUAUUAAAGUCACUUUGACCUACUAUUUCUGGCACAUCAGCUUCCUAACCACGUCUCCAUUUGUUCUGAAUUAAAGCCAUCCUCCAGGUAAGAAUGAGUAAGAGUUACUGUAGUGGAAAUGCUAAGUCAGGGCCUGAAGCAGUGAUGGAGCACCUGGUGGAAGGCAGGGCCGACCCGCGGAGCUCAGGUGCAUGCAAUGUGACUGAGUAUCCAGAAGGGGUGAAGCCAGGAUCCUCCCCCUCCCAGACCCCAUUUAAGGGCUGGCAGUGGAGGCUGGGGUACCUGUCUGGAGAUCCCUGCCUGCUGGAGGCUUUCGAAAGGCAUAAUAUUUACAGUGUCUGCCCUCAAAAUUAUUCUGAAGACCAGGUUAUUUGUUGGCUGUGAAUUUGCCAAUAUCUUAGCUCUCCUUCCCAUCAGAGGACCAGGCUGCCUGCCAUCCCAGCCCUUGAUCUGCAUGGAUGGAUGCUGGAGGACACAUCCCAGUACGUCACUGUGCUGUCACUACAAGAAAAAACUGAACAGUCUCAGGACUUGAACACAAUCUCUUAAUACACUGCUCUGAAACUGGAGAUCUUACACAGGCCCUGAGACUACUGUCAGGAUCAUCAGGAGACUAAGCUUCUGUGAGAGGCUUAAUGAUCAAACACAUCAACUCUCAUACUGCUUGGAUUUGUCUCUGAGACUCGUGUAGGAUGACUCCAUCGGUGAGGGGAUUAAGAUCCAUCCAGAUUUUCAAUAUCAGGUCUUCCCUGGAUAAUAAUGUAAGAUCCUUUGAGAACACAGAAACACAGCUCCUUCUGGAAGAUUCAUUGACUGUGCCAUAACCUCAGUUUGAUUGUUGGAGGCCCUUGCUUCAAGAAUCCAAGAAACCAGUUAUGGAGUUUCUCAUUUCUCUGCCAGUUGCAAUUAAUUAAACUACAGCAUCAACAGGCUGAGGAUCCUAAAAUCUCGGAGGUGCCUCAGCAGCUUCGUUUGACAAGAGCCAGCUGGAUUCUCCCCAAAUGAGAGGGGAGCUGGAGAGCUGGAGCUGCCCUGCCCUUCAAUAGCAGGGGGCAGCCCACAGCCCCAACAGCAGCACUGAUGCCAAUAUGGAUGUACACUCCUAGAGCCAUCCAGGCCAGUAUAUGCUAAGAUAAACUUUAUCACUGAAGAGAUAAAAUACUGCUGACUGUGAUCCAGCAUAACACUCUCAGAAUGUGUCAUGGUUUGAAUGGCAUCCAGGAUGUAACUUGGCUUUGUUGCUCAUACUAACUUCACCAAUUACUGCAGAGGAGCCUACGAGCUCAUUCUAUUAAAAUUAUUCCUGGGCAAAAUAAUCUCAGAGGGCAGAACUGCCAUACGUACAUGCUAGCAACAGCAGUACUCCCUAAAGCACCAACUGGCUCCUUCUGCUCAGCUUGAGGAAUCAGUGCACAAUUACUUUUCAAUAACAAGAAAUGCAAGUGUUCAUUAGUGGUUAGAAUCCUUUUCCUCCCACCACUUCACAACACAAAGCUCUCCAGCUGCUCACAACAACAAGUCUCUACCCCCCUCUUAGACAUAUGAAGACCGAAGAUGGGGGGGAAGGGGGAAAUAAGGAAGCUACAAAGAAAUAGAUGGCUAUAGAUAGUCAUUUGCCUGUGUUUAAGAAACAGCCUUUAACUGGAUUUUCUUUAUGCCGUAUCUUAUUAUCUUAAUGAAAAACUGUCUUUAUUAUAACUAAAGCCUCAACUCCCUCAUCAGCAGAAUUAAUCUGCUCACUUGACUUGAAUCUCAAAUCAAGCAGCAUUUAAAGCUUUUCACGUCCAACCUUGAGAGCAGUUCCUGUUAAAAUGAAUCCACCUCCUCAGUCUUUCAGCCUGGCUGUAGCUGCUCAAAGUGCAGGUAAUGAGGGGCAGCAGUACCCACGCGGGAUCAAAAGGAGUUCCAUGCAUUAAGUGCUACCCUUCUGUCAGUACCCAAAUUCAAAGGCAGCACAACCACGGAUACAAAACGUGCCACUGCACUUCUGAUUAAGUGCAGACAGCAUCCAAGACUGAGCUCUAAAGAUUUUCUCACUGCCUAUUUAAUGGGGGAAAAAAAAAAAAGGCUUUUAACAACCUUCAUCUACUCAGAUGAUCUACAAUAAUAAAGUUAAACAGUAAGAGAUGCAAGAAGCCUAAUGUUCAUUUCCCUGAUGGGCUGGAAACAUUUCUGGUGCCUGGAAGCUCCAGUAGUGACAAUAAUUGUUUGUUUUUCUAUUACAUACUAAAUAUCAGCAUGACUUUAGUUUUCAUUUUAAGAGCAGCAGAACAGGAAGUGUUUUAAUGUUAUCACCAGAUGACAUCUUGAUUAAUUCUACAAAGACUCUAAGAUGGAUUAGCUGCCAGUUAUGUCAUAACCAGGCAGAUCAAUUUACAGUGAUUCUACAGGUGCAAUUAUCAAAAGCUUUCUGAGAGAAGAACAGCUGCUAUCCCCUGUGUGAGCCAACUAUCUCCAGUCCUUCCCUCCUCACUGUCUGUGAGGCCAGCAAGUGAAACCAAGAACGAUACACACAGGCUCAUCAGCUGGACUUCAAACGACAGCACAGCUACAAGAAGCUCACUCUUUUGAAGACAUCUACAUCUCAAGGCUCUUCAAUUGCUCCCUGCUGCAGCACCAGCCCUUCUCACAAUUGUCCCAGCUUGGUGAGUGCAGAAAAAGCCAUAAAGCAAAUGGGCAGUUACAGCGUGGGUAAAAAAACAGAAUGGGAGAAACAGGCCAGUGUGCAGCCAGACAAUCCAGGACUACUAGUAAAAGUGUAUGUCAGGCAGCCACGGCUUUGACUUCUAACAAAUAUCUGCCUGUGACACUCAGCUCCUACCUUUUGAAGGGCACUCCUAGCAUGCUAUAAGGCGGUGGUGCAGGCUCUCUCUACUGUUCAAACCUAUUGCUGCGGUGGCCUACUGAAGACUUGGGGGGAAAAGAAAAAAGAAAUAGUUCCAUCUUCUGAAAGCUGCCACUGGCCAGAAUGCCAGGAACAGGCACCACAACAGAUCACCUGCUUCUGCAAGAGCUCAGUGAGACACAGGUAAUGACAACACAAAACCUAGCUCGCUAUCAGCAAUACAAACAGUACAGGGACCAAUGAACUAGCUGUCAGGCACAUGAGGCAGAGCAGUUACCAGCUGAUCCAGUGCACGGCAAUAGUCCCUGCUGUCACUGAGGUACAUAGAGAACACAAUCUGAGCUGCUGUGCUGAGCCCACCUCAGCUCCUUGGCCUUGUCACAGCUCGUACAUUCAAGCAGAUCCUAGCUCAGCUAUACACUGCAGUAUGGAUGGUUAUGCUCGCACACAGGCAUUUAACUUCUCAGACAAAAGCCACCCAAACCUGUCUCCUGACAGGAGAAAAGGCUCUUUGCGGCAAACUAUAUUACCUCUCCAACCACUUCCUGCUCUAUCCCGGCCUCCCUCCCCACAACGUAGGCCUGUCUUUAAGGCGGCAGCACAGCCCACCCGCUGCCCCUCAUCACACGUCAGGGCUUUCCCCACGGCUGCGGGCCGACGGCCGCGCUCCGGCUCGGCGCCGUUCUACAGCCGGCGCUUCUCGCAGUGAUCCGCCAUGCGGGCAGCGCCGGGCGGGCCACGACGGCCGGCCCCGAGGCACAGCCGAGCCCCCUCCAGCCGGCCGCAGCUCCAGGCCUCGCACGGCCAUCUUCGGCACGGCCGGCCCCAGCGCCGGGCCGCCUCUCCCCGCCUCACUCACCUUCUCGCAGAGGCUGCGGACCUGGCUCUCGCUCAGCUGCCGGCACUCGUUCAGCUGCUCGAUCCACUGGUCCAGCUCCUUGGCGAAGCUCUUCUCCUCCAUGGCGGCGCUGCCGGCCGGGGCCGGGCCCCCCCCGCACUGGGCGCCCGCGAGGCCCGGUCCCGCCUGAGGCUGCCGGCGCAACGGCGGGGGCGCGCGGCCUGCUGCGCUCCCGGAAUGGCGGCCCCCGGCCCUGCGCACUUCCGUCUGCCGCCGCCCCCGCCCGCGCUUCCGCUCCGGCACUGCGCGUGCGCGGCGCCUCGCGACGGGCGUAACGGUCCGUCCCUCAGGUGGAGCUGGGAGUCAAAGGGGUUAGAGCGCUGUGCGCCUAUAGCGAGCUGUGCAACUGAAAGUGCGUUCAGCAGAGUCAAAGGGAGUCAUGUAUUUACACAAAUACAGUUUGUUUAGUUGCUCCUAAAAGUCCUCUGCCAUUCUGUACUCAUAAAUGAUGCCUUUUGUGAGCUGUGAACAGCUUGGAAGACUCAGCCAAGAGAGCCCCUGGACCGCUGAAACCAACUGGGACUCUCCCACUAUCUCACCAAAAGGGAGCCCUGAGGGAAUUCUACUUCUCAGUCUCGUAAAUUAAGACUUAAGCAACCAGAUCCAUAAAGCAUUUGUAAUGCUUCCACCUGGUCCUUGGUGAGGACACCAGGGCGGUGUAACUUCAGCCCCACUGUGUUAUGCACCUGGAAGAUGUUUUCCACCUGGACCGGAUGGCUCCACGCAGUGCUGAGGUUGAUGCUGACGUGCUGGAAAGAGGAAGCUCCCACGUGGGAGACACUGUAAAGCCAGCUCUGAGUGACUGAGCCCUGAAACAACUGCACCGUGCAUCAGGCAACAAGAAUUAGAGCAGACAGUUCAGACUACACAAGUAAGCAAAUUUAUUUUAAGACAGAACAAAUAUUGUGGCAAACAACAAUACGCAAAUUCAGUUGGUAACAGGGGUAAAUAUCAGACUUCGUUUUCAAAUAGAUAUAAAAUAUAUUCAGAUUUUGUUUUGUCCAAAAAGCAGCUUGUGUAGGGGGCUUGGGAUGGGAAAGGUCUGCCCAUGAAGCUCCAGAACCAGCACUGACUCCUCUGCCAGCAGGGCUGCAUGCAUGGGCUCUCCCACCACAGGACAGAGGUGCCUGUUGGAAUUCCAGCUCCCUUUCAGUAGUUCCCUCCCUUCUGGUAAAAAGCCAAUUCUUGCCACAGACUCCAUUUUUGGUUGUGGAGGAGCUGGAGCAGCACCACAGUGCUCACCUACCUGGGGAUGGAGUGGUCACAGGUGUCCUUUUUAGGCACAGAUAAGCAUGCAGAGAGCUGCUGGGGAAGCAGCUCACCUCCAAAGGCAGAGGAGUCACACUGAAUCCUGGCCCCAUGCUCGCCAUGGAGAAAGGGGACAGGACUGCCUACUGGAGCACAGGGGUGGCUGUGAGCCAAGGGGGAGAGAGCUGCUUUCUGGAAAAGCCAUCCCAAAUAAAAGCACACAUAGAAAACAUUAGAUUGUCAAUGAUGCUUUGAAACAAAUUCAAGUUUAUCAUUUAGUGUGUGUGUGUGUGUUCACUUCGUACAAACAGAGGAGAAAUACUGUGAAACUUCAAGCUCUGGCCAGCAUGUCCUCAGUUAGUGUCCACAGAAGCACCAUCAGGUAUGGGAGAGUUAGCACCACAGAGUUGUAGGACCUAACUGAUAACAUGCGUCAUUGUUGGAAAACUAGGGACAUGGAGAUCCACGGGGGACAUGGUACAGUCCAUUAGAAACAAUACAAGGCAAUUUAUGCGUUGUCAUACAGUACAAUACAGUCACUGACCAACCAACCCUUUCAGUACAGUACGGAACAUGUAACACUUUGCACCCUGUUAACACUAGGGGACUAAGAGACUCUCACACUUUCCUUUCCUUCUGGCCAAUUCUGGUACCAAAAUGUGCAGGAAGGAUGAAAGGCUCGGCCCUUCCCUGACGCGCUUCACAGGGUCCGCACAUCAGGAGAGAUGGGUCCUGACAGCCACAGAAGUGCUCCUUACUUCUGUCAUAGUGAGAACAGGGUCAAUUGAAAAAGUGCUAAAUUACAGUACAUCUGCAUUUUUAUAUGUCAACUACUGAACAGCGAAACAGAUCGUUUGAAAACAGAAUCGGUAUUGUACAGUAAGUUCACACUUAAUUCUUCACCGUUUCUACACUUGUAACACAUGCAUUUUAUUUCCAUUAGUUUGAUUCCAGUAGGACCAACAUCCUUCAGAACAAUGAUCUCACAUUAAACAAAACUCCCUAAGGAAAAUACUGAGCAUCACAUAAGCUUCAGAAAAAUCUGUUAAUCAGCAUCACAAUGUACUCAGAUUUACAUUUAGGGUUUUUCAUGCCAUGAAUUUCAAACACCUUUUGGUUAAUAUCCUGAAAACAAAUCAACCCCCCCACCCCGAAAUGAUAAUAACAGUAAUAAUAACAAUAAUAAUAAAACCACAGAAAGAACGGCUGGGGAAACAAAUACUCUGUCUGUAGGUACAUGCGCACACACAUACAUGCACAUACACAUUGAGGGGUGCAUGGGUGUGUGUGCAUUUGGAGACUGCUUCCUGCAGUGCACAAUUUGUUUGAUAAACUUGACUCAUUUCAAGGUCAUUCACAUGGGCUGGGAAACACUUUUGGGAAAGAGUUCUAAACUAUGGAAAGAAAUUAAAAAUGUCUCUGCUGGAGAGAAAGAAAAGGUGGGUAAGACAUCGUCCGUGUGCCAUUUCAAUGCACUUCCCAUGAGCUGCCUCAAACCCAAACUGAAAUCCCCUAAAAGAACCGUCUUCUGCUUAAAAGGUCCUUCCCGAGAAAAAGGUGCUGUGCUAUGCAUUACAUUCAGGCCUUAUGUGUGCCGUGCAGCAGAAAAUGCUUAACUUUACCUUUGACGAGAUGCCAACUUGGAGAGGCAAAAAACUAUACCUGUGGAAAAAAACACAGAGACCUGUUCUGCAUCCCUCUUCCUUGCCAGCUUCCUUUCCCGAGGAGGAAAGAAAGCACUCAGCUCCCCAGAGGAUGAUGGAAUGUGGGCUGAAAUACUGAAAAGCAUCCCACUGUGUCUCAGUGCCAGCCAGAAGGGCCGAGGCCCUCUGUGGGCCUUUCUGAGAGGCUCUCCUCAUCCACUAGCGCCUGGGUACUGAGAGAGAGCACCCGAGCCACUGGGUGCUAGUUCUUUAAAGCUAGAUUUGCAGGGUUAAUUUGGCCAGGAGAUGAAAAACAGUCUGGAAUCUAUGUACAUUUCCACUUCAAAAUCACACAAUGGAGAAUAUAAGAGCAUAACACUUUGGGCUGCUCAAAGCUUGUUGCUUUUUAACCACCUUCAAUUCUGAAUGAAUGUCCAAACCCAUAAAGCUCUAUUGGAGAAGAAAGCCUAGGCUGAAGCAAAGUAAAACCAGCUGGUCUCUUCCUUCAAGCAAUUGACUGCACUGAUAUAGUUAUUACCCCCCUCAUGUCACCAGGGAGCAAAUUCCAUCCAGGAGCAUUGCUAAGGAAAGGCUCCAAUGAAGGGCUCCCCUGUGGGCUUCUUGCAUGGAUCCUUCAUUGGGAAGGAUGCACAGAACCCUUGCAAGCACUGUGGAAUACUUGUUGCUGCAGUAAGCCCAUGAUGGCUUUUAGAGGAGCAAAAGACAUCAGUGGGUUGAGAGGGUAUGCUUUGGAAUAUUGAAACUUGGAACAUUCUGCAUCCUGAGGAUCAUCACCCACGUUCAGAUCCUAGAGAAUUAUGACUUUGCCAUUUGGGACAAACUAUCCCACUGAUUUUGUGCUGGAGAGGCAACUCAGGUCCCACACCAGCCAUGCUGAAAUAUUGCAGGAAUCUAACAAAGAUAGGAAAGCACAUCAACAUGGCUUCUUACCACGUGACCUGCUAAGCCCCUCAUACUUCUCUCCAAUCUCAACAGCAAACCCAGUGGUUAUAUGCUCCAUUGUCUACAUCAUUUGCAAUUCCUUUAAUUUUAUCAUUAUUAUUAUUAUUAUUAUUAUUGUAGUUUCAGCCACAACAACCCCAACAGCACUUUCAGUACAGGCACAAUGACGGCUUGUAUUGCAAUGGCUUGAGCGCAGUUGUUACUGUUAUCUGCAUUUACAAGCAGUUUCAAGUUAGCUUUCCCGCUGACCCAACCUGCUACUGCAGAUUGGGUUCUCUUACCAAAACCGAGAGUAUCUGCCACACACUCUUAGCUCUGGUUCUGUCUCACAUCCUGCUGUCCGUGCAAAUCGAAGUGUAAAUUACACCAUCUUGCACUAUCCCAAUCCCUUUCGAGAUUUCUCCAUAUCUUUGGUGUUAAAAACAACCAUGCGCUUAGUUCUCUGAAUGACCUCAAAGUUUAUAGCAACCACAUCUGCCUGGAUGUCAAUGACACAGAUGUUCAGUCUACUGGGUAAAAACAAUCUUUUGACGGUUUCAUUUCCCUCACUUAUCAAACUGCUAAGAGAUAUGCAGUGGAAAUUAGGCACCAGACAGUGGGCACAUACACCUCAAAAUUAUCUUCCGAUGGCCCCUAAGUAAUUAACACCGUGUGUAAGAGACUAAAUGGACUGGGGGAAAAAAGUGGUUCAAAACUCAGUGCUAAUAGUACUUACAAAAGUGCAGUGCUCAAUAUAGUCAGAAGCAAAGUGACCACUAGUACUUAAAGUGCUAGUUUUAAAGUUUGUUUGGUUCAGUGUCCAAAACAUGGGGAGAACAUGUGUGAUAGCUAGGGAUGAAAUCAAAACCAGAUGGCACUGCAACUGUACAUGCCACACCAAAAGUGCUUCAAAUCACACCAUUUCAGGGAUGCAUAACGCUACGGGUCAGCUUGUGAACACAUACAAGCAAACGACUGACACCUUUUAGGUUACGAUAAAGAACAGCUCCAUUAACUCCAUCACUAUGAACCGAUUCAGAAAGCAAAGGGCCACAGCUUACGAACAAAACAAGAGUCUCUCAGAACAGUUACGAGUCUUUGCAACUAUGAUACUCAAAGUCUAGCAAAAGCAACCCUGGGAAGCCUGCCGAGUGUCUGCAGCAGGCUUCACCAAUGCUAUCAUGCAGUUUACAGAGGAGUCACGCUGCAGACUGCCUCCUUUUACACGCUAUCAUACAGUUAACCUAUUUAUGUACUUACUGGUGGGUUUGUAUCUAUACUUUUAUACUUUCGCUUUCUGACUACGCUUUAAGCCGGCUUUUUUCUCUUCACCACCCUAUCGGUGAAAGGACAAUUAGUGCAAGAACAAGACAAUGAAAGCCGCCUAGUAAAUAUCAACGUUCCUAACAUCCGAUCUUCGUUUUCAUGAAGGAAAACAUCCCCAGGAAGGACUUUGGAUGUGCAGACAUCACCUUAACAUGUCUAGCACACUGUACCACACAGCUGGGCGACUACAAGACAGGAGACACGUAAGAAGGAAGGAAGCUGCAGGAAGACUGGACCAAGCAGUCAAGAUAUCUGCCUCCACCCAGCUCUGCAUGCUCCUUGAAGGAGGCUGGGUGUAGGGAACCCUUCCUGACAGAGGCCAGAUGCUGUCCUUUCUUCUCCUUAAACACACAAGACAUGCUGCAUGCUGACUUCUGCUUCUCCUAUUCCAGCCAUUGGCUUUUUUGUUCCCUGUGAAUAACCAUGUUGACCUGAAAGCCUGGGCAACCUAGGACAGACCUAUGAGGACCAGGCAGCUAAACUGAGGGGGAUAUGAGAGGACGAGUAGAAAGCUGGAGUAGCAGGACCUCAGGAAAAUAAACAGUCAAGCUUAGAUGUCUCAAAAGGUUUCAGCAGGUACCCAACAAAAUGAUCACUGAACAUCAUACCUUCCCAGGCUCUGUUUGCAUACUUGUCAACUCUUGCAAGUGUUUUACCAGGCAACCCCUAGCUGGCCAAUACCUGAUGCAUGUCAGCCACGUGCAAAGCUUCAUGGAGAAAGCUCUGUUUAAAAUGAAAGCAUUGGCUUGCUGGAGUUUGCAGUCAAAAGCUGCCGUCUGUGUUUGGCGGUACUUUCUGAGUUCUGUAAAUCACUUCUGGGCUGUCAAAACAGGGAGAACUGCACCUUGCAUGUGUAGUGGAAUGUUCCAGGUACGACUGUAAACCUCUUCCUGUACUGAACCAGUCAGCAAAUGUCAGAGAGGUGAUUUUUCAGAAACAGAUAAUGCUAAUACCCAAGGAGAAAAGGAACUUCAGAAACAGUGCCCCGAUUCCAGUGCUGCUCCAAAGACAUGUACUUAAACAAGCAAAAUCCAAGGUGAGGGAUCCUGGAGCUAAGAACACAGAUCCUACUGUGCAGACACAGAGCAGGAAAAAGACAAGUCUGGAUAAGAUCUGAGAGUCGGACAAUUUGGGGAGUUGGGGAGUUUGUGAAGCACCAGCUUCACAGCACCUGCAGUGCUGAUCCAGACAAGGAAACUGCUGAAAGAAUCCGUCCUGUGACCCUGGCUUUUGUGUUUCAACCCUCCGUGCAGCUGCAGGCAGCAGCUACUGAAGAUCUGAGCUGGCCUGCUGCAGACAUAGCCUGCUCCCACCUAAAGCUCACCAGGGAACAACAGUGCAAACUUGCACAUCUCCGCUUUCAUAGCAGCGAUGGAGACAUGCAAGAUUACAAGCAGUUGUUGGACAUUAUGCUGGGCAAAGAAGCUGCCACAUUUCUUAUCACACGCACUAUGCAGAUCUUGCAACGCUGCCAUGUAUUACCAUCUUUUGUAUCUAGAUACACAGAAAAUGUUUUGUUUCAGUAACACUGAUCUCAGUGUUGAGACCAAAAGCAAACACUGUAUGUACUGAAAAUGUGCCAGCAUGGAAAGUACAGUACAAAAAUUACUCAUUUUCACAGUCUUAUUUAUUUAUUGAUUUAUUGGGUGUUCUUUUCUGAUGGUAAAGAUUUCUGGCAAAUGAUAAUCAAUGGAUAAUAAAUCUAAUGCUAGAAAACCUCAUCAAAUUGCAGGGUAGUUUUCCACACUGCUCUCUCAAGGAAGGUGUCCAAGUGUGCUAUAUUUUUGCUGCCUGGGAGAGAGGCCCUUACAUAUGCUUGCGACUCCUUGCUAUUUCACCUCCACGUGGACUGCAGCCAUUUGUAAACAGCACAGCUGUUCCACAUUUUCUCCAAGAAGAGCAGUGCACAGGCUGCCUCUCAUGUCACGCUGGGACCAUCUCACCGCUACCCUGGCACAGCAGCACACGGUGUCCUUUGGGAUCACAUACAGGAAAGCAAACAAACAGGCUUUUCACACCAGGUUGGUGUUGCACCGAAGUGUCACAGGAAAUCAUACAGCCUGCACCUUUACCUGCAGCCUGAGUGCUGCUAAGACCUGGUUUUUAAAGGCAUCAGUAAAUCCAUGCUUCAGUCAGCAUGUUCGAUUUUCAUGCAGAUAUUCUUGGCAACUUUUCCAGUCACUAAAAAACAACUCAUUUGAAAGUUUAUGAGAAGCAACAUUUUAUUUUUGGAAGCAGAGGCUUUUGCUGCAUCGAAGCUUGCAGAUAUCCGUAUGCCACAAUUCAAAGCUGAUUUUCAGUGACGAAUAAAGUGAUUCCCAGACACAGCACAGUGCAGAGUAAAACGCGAUCCAAGAUUGCUCAGUACCACAGGCAUAAUGCAAACUGAAGACAGGGGGCCAUUUUUAAUUAUAUGCAAAUGAACAAAAUCCAGAUCCUGCAGCAGAAAACCAAUUCUGCAAAGAAAUAAUCAUCCAUCUUUUGCAGCCCUAGUGUUGGUGCUUGAGAAGAAGCUUAUUUACUAAAUGGCAAUCUCCAUACAGAGGCUGUCUUACCACUGCCCAAAAAAGGCACAAAUGCAGAUACACACUACAGCUCCAUAGAUCCCCUGCCUGGAAAAUUCCCAGAGCUGUGGGGAUGGUGCCUGGGGACCGAGAUGUGCCAAACUGAGCCCACACCAAUCGCAUGGAAGGAGCCUAAUUUCAGCUCCAGCAAGGGAGAGUGCACACCUGCACCUGGAAACUAAACGUUAUGAGCCUUGAGUAUGGGAAACUGCAUCCAGUUCAACUCAUACCAGCUAUGAAUCUAAUGCAACCCACAGAAGUAGAGCUCUGAAAUUUGUGCUUUGAAAUGCAUGCUUUCAGCAUACAGCAGGAAAAUCAUAUGCCCUUAAAUUAUGUAUAAGUUAAAACAUCUUUUCCAUAAAAGCAUUAAUGAUGUGUAAAACAAAAUGAUAUCCAAAAAAUGCAGCAGGCUUUAGAAUUUCUGCACUUACAUGAUUAUUUACAUGUGAAUAAGAAGCAUCUUGUCCCUGCACAAAAAUAUCCAUCAUGUAGGAUGACAGAGAAAUGCUUCUUUUUGUGUAUAAGAAAAAAAAGUGUAAAGUCAUGAACUCUUGGAAUGGUCCAGAAAGGGAUGAAGGAAACCAAGCAGUAGGUUCAGAGCAGUGAGAAACAACCUAUACCCAAAGCUGCACGGUGAGACUAUCACAUGGGGAAAGAAGCGUGCAACUUUUUUCCUGGUUUAUGGCCAGGAAAGACAGCCCCUUGUGUGGCCACCUGGAUGAACCUGGAAGGGUACCCAUGGGAGUGAUAUGUGUGUGAUGAAUUCAUUCACAGGACCUUCUAACCACAGCUGCUGCUCCUUCUACUGAGGGAUGCUGCCACCACAACCCCUCUAUUGCAGCAAGCAUUGAAGCAGCAGAAAAUAGAAAGUCAGUAGGCAUGCAGGGACAUCUGAAGUCUAACUUCAGAGCCUUUGUGCAUUUUCUGAGCCUAGAAGCAUUAAACAACUACGUAUCUGCUUUCUAGUCCUAGCUGGAUACCCACCCGCAUAGCUGGGCAUUAUGGUCUGCAUCCAGCAUCAUGAAACUGAAGGCAGCCAGAGAACACUGACACGAUGCACUUCUGUAACAGUGGAGCCUGACGAUGGGAACAUUGGACCAUGGGGACUGCACGUUGAAAGCAAAACAUUUUAUUACUGCUGGCUAAGCUUCGUAAUGUACAAUUAUGAGUAAGGUAGAGGUUGUAUGCAGAUCACUUUGCCUGCCACCAACUACAGCUUCUGGAAUUAAAUGCUGCAGCUGUUGAGCAGUAUGUACAGUAUCUAUUAGUAGAAAGAAAAGAGGGUAAGAUGCAGUUGAAACAGUGGGGAGGUUAGGUUGGUAGAAAGUCUUUAUUGACAGCAGCCAAUGACCAAGUAUUGCAUCAGAAGCAGAGGGCCCCCAAAAUGCAGCCCUCCAACUCAAGUUCUUGCCUGGUUCCUAUGCUGCAGCACCAUUACCAUGCAGGAAGAGUAAGAGGGGCCAGCCUUGGUCAGGGGCUCUGCAGGCACCAGGCUGAGCCUGGGAGUGGCCAGAAAUGCAGGCAGGUGGGUCACAACUCAUACCUAACUUAGCCAUAAAUCUCUGCACAUGGCAGCCUGGUGUUGACUCAGAUCUGUGAUUUCUGUUUUGUUCUCUUUAGGCUUCCGUACGAUAUUUUUGGCUUUAAAUGUCUUUCUGAGAUGGUUUCUAAAAAAUGUAAGUUUCUUCCAGCAAGAAUCACACCUUCAAUCUAAGACAAAAAAUAGGUUUAGCUUUCAUAGAUGUCAGAGGUGGUUAAAAAAAAAAGAAAAAAAAAGCUAUUUUGGACCAUUACUGAAGCGUACCCAA